AAAAAAACACAGAGAGGCACAAAUUCUCAUCAAAUAGGAAGUCGGAAUAUCCGAGCUCCGAUUAGGAAAUUUAAUCUGGAACCUCCGCGAAAGUCUGAAUUAUGAGUCAGUUGUAGACGAACUACUUUCAGUGUUUAUAAGACGAGAUGUUUCAACGCUGUUUAUAUGCACGAAAUAGCGCGUAGAUCAGUGUUAUUGUUGUAAGGCUGCUGUUACAGUUGUUAUCAAUACGAACGAAAACAAGCAGGAAACUGGAACGCUACAACCCGGAAAUGACCCCAGAAGCGGGAGUGUUGAUAAAGCUGUAAGAGAGCUGCAGCAGCAGCAGUUGAUGAACUCUGGAAAGAAGUCCAGCAGCUUGAGGAACAUCUGGUCAAAGAAACUGGAGGGAAGCAGGAGCUCAAACAGCGGCAGGACGCAGCAGAGGAAGAGACACCAGAUGAUGGAUGAUGUUUUCCAGCCCAGAUUAGUGCUGCCAGCAGAUGUUAAAGAAGAGGCUC